UUGAUAAUUCAGUGCCAGGAUGCAGGAGAACAAUCUUCAGAUGAUGAGAAUGGAAAUGGUAGCAGUGUAGAUCCAGAAGAAUCAAGUGCAAGGAGAACAGGGAGGAUAGAAGCUGAUGAUAAUGAAGAAGACGAAAGAUCAGCAGAAGAAGUCCAAAGAAUGUUAAAUCGAGAGAAGAGAUCUAACAAGAGGUUACAACGGAAGCUUGAACAGUCGCAGGAAAGGGUUCUUAUUCUAGAGCAAGAAGUCCAGAUACUAACACAAGAUUUGGAAGCUGCGGAGGAUGAGUUGGACCAGGUAAAGGACGAGAAUCGAGCAUUACUAAAAGCAUUGGCCAAGUUAGGCAGUUAGGCCAUGGUAUAUAUGUAUAGCCCCCUCUACUGUUAGGACAGAGAAUAACUGAUAGCAACUCACAGUGGCAGUCAGACCACAGCGGGAAAGAAACAGACGCAACUGUGCAACAUGGAUGAAGAUCAUGAAACCUCAAGAGUCAACAACAGCACAUGUAUUUAUUUUAUAUUGUCACAUCCAGUUAGGGAUGGUACUUUUGGCAUAUCAGAAGGAAUUUAAUUCCUUAACCCAGCAAAAACUGAUGUUAUCAGGUUUCCUUAAAAAAACUACACCAGUCCCUUACACCGGUGUUGAAUUCACAUUGUUAGUCCAACCUUUUGCUGUUUCAACACUCUGUAGGUGUUAUGUCGAGACUGUGGUGUUAAUUGAUGGAUAUAGAUGACCACACCAGUCAGUUUACACCGUAGUUGAAUUCAGUGUUAGUUCAACAUCAAACAUGUUAUUUUAACACCUUUGUUUAUCCAGCACUCUUUGGUGUUAUGUACAAACUCUAUGGUUUAAUUUAAAACCUUAGGGCUUGGUCCUGUCGGUAAACCAACUGGUGUCAGUUUUAACACCUAAUGAUAUUAUUACGGUUUCAUGACAUUUGCUUCGGCUACAAUAGUUCUGAUGGAAAAUCUGUUAAGCCAAACAUAAAACCUAAACUUUAAAACUAAAUAAACCCUAAUCAAUGUAUUUACAUUAUUCUGAACAAAAAACUAUAUUACAAUCCUAACUCUAAACCUAUACCCUCUGAGAUAUUAAGACCGGAGCAAAUGUCGCAGGAGCAAAUGUCGUGCCACCAUUAUUAAACUCCCUUUUUUAACACUCUUUGGUGUUGUGCUCAAACACUCAAAUGUCAUUUUAACAUCACAGUUUUUGCCAUGAACCAUAAAACCAUUAAUUUAAUAUUUUGAAUCAUGAUCUAUGGUCCUUUAUCACAAGCCUAGGUGAUUGAUCACAUAUAUGAUUUCUGCAAUUGAUUGUACAUUAUUGUCAAUGCAAUCAAUUAUAAAAAUUGAUUCUGUUAUCAAUUGCUAUCAUUUGUGUGACAGGGUCCUGAUCUUAUGUAGAUAUGAAGUUUGUCUGUUAAGACCAGGGGGAUGUUUUACAAAGAUAUAAGUAUGACUUAGAGUCACACUUAAAUGCCAUGUUGUGUGUGCUAUGAAAGACAUUACCUCAUUGGUCCAAUUAGGCCAAGAGGACGCAUACUACUGUGUAUUAAUCCAUAAGAUCACGUGUUGGAUAUCAUGUACGCAUCAGCAUUUAAGUACAACUGUAAGUCAUACUUAAAUCUUUGUGAAACCACCCCCAGAAUGGAUAUUUACAAUUUUGGCAGAUUCUUAUAUGAAGCCUGUAACUUUCAGAUAUAAGUCACAUAUAUCUUACAACGCAUUUAAGUGACUCAAAUCAAUUUUAAUUAUGGCAAGCCAACAGCACCAUAUUUUUUUAUAGAAAACAUACAUCCAAGUAGAGCUUUUUUGUGAGCAAUUGCAUGUGUUGUGAAUGUUGGAUGGAUUUAGCCAAUCAGCUCGCUGUAUCUUGUGAUUCAAAUCAAUUUUAACUAUGGAAAGCCAGCUGCACCAUAAUCUUUCAUCUAGGACACAUGUAUCCAAGGUUUUGUGAGAGAUUGCAUGGAGUAUGCAUGUUGGAUGGACUUAGCCAGUCGGCCUUCAGUUCUCUAUCAUGUGAUUUAAAUCAGUUUUAAGUAUGGAAAGCCAUCUGCACCAUAAUUUUUCAUCUAGGACACGUGCAUUCAAGCACAGUUUUGUGAGAGAUCGCGUGUGUUAUGCAUGUCGGAUGGACUUAGCCAAUUAACCUUCUCUAUCAUGUGAUUUAAAUCAGAUUCAUUUAUCGAAAGCCAUCUACACCAUAGUUUUUCAUCUAGGACACGUGCAUGGAAGCACAGUUUUGUGAGAGAUUGCAUGGGUUUUGCAUGGAGGAUGGAUCUAGCCAAUCAGCUUUCUUUAUCUCCUGCCGAGAGGAAGAGUACAUACUCCUGGUAGAUGAUGAAUUAUAACCCAACAAAUGGCUUUCCAUAGUGGAAUUGAAAUGAAUAAAGCUUGCUUGGCUUUCCAUAAUACAUGUUGGUUUGGCCUAAAUUCAAAUUAAGUUAAACUCUCACGGGGCCUUAUAAGUAACUUGUAACCAGUUGCAAAUCUCUUGAUGUGUGCGAAACAAUCGUAUGUCUUGCAAUUAGUUGCAAGUUUGCAUUCGAUUUGCAAGCUGUGAGAUUUUUGGGGAUGUGCAAGAACCCUUAAUGCAACAAGCAGGUGAAUUCCCACGGAGUCUGCAAACAGGACCCUUGCCUCUCACUGUUAUUUAUUGAUAAAAGUCAUAAUCAGUAUCACAAAAUGAGAAAAGGAGGGAGCGAUCGUAGGAAAGGAAUUAGUUUGCUACCAGUUAUUCUCCUUCUUGGCUUUAUAAAUACAUGUAAAUACUACUUGUUUGAUAAUAGUACUAAAUAUGAAUACAUAUUGUUGCCAAAAAGAGAUUAAAUAAUGUGUAAAAUAUUGAAUUCAGGAUUUGGACUCAGGCAGCAUACUUUUUCAUCUAUUUUCGUAUUUAUUGGUGAUGCCAUGUAAUCCUAAAGCAGUGAAUGAUGUCAUGGCAAUAACCAUAACAAUAAGUUUUAUUGAAUAAAGAUCUCUUUAGCAUUCUCCAUCUUCACUUCUUAGGUGCUCAAUAAAAAAAAAACCGACAGUAUUUAUAAAGAAGCUUCCAAAUUCAUAAGAUAUCCAUAUGCUUAGGAUGAAAAAUUACUAAAUUUUAGCAAUUGAGCAAAAAUGUUAUGAAACCUCUCUACACAUGAUGAGAUUAUCCAUGUCUUUGCCUGUUUGAGAGUAUCUUUAAUUACAGUGAAAACAAGAUUUUUUGUUUUUGUUUUAUGUUUCUUGCUCAUGCUCAACAUUUGGCCGUCAAGGUCACAUGUUUGACCCUUGAGCGCAGAUAUCCCUGAUAUAACAUAUUCUACUUGAUUAUUUUUGGGAGUCUGGAAAAGGUACAUUGCCAGCCGUUCUAUGAUACGAAACAAUGCUUAAGCUAUGUUAGGAGUAUGCAGUACUUGGAAACAUUGCUUUUAGUGCUAUAAAAAUGUUUCACAUUAUGACUAAUAUUGUUACAUACAUUUCUAAAGAAGAAAACUGUUUGAAAAAUAACAUUGAUAAUGUGAUCAAGUAUGGCAAGUUUAUUUAUUAAAAAAAAGAGAAAAUGGGUCACAUUGGUAGAUCCUUGCAGCAAACAGAACUGGGGAAGUUUCUUGAAGCUGCCUCUUAAGUCAAAUGACUUGACUUACGGACGACUGGUGACCCUAUCUUUAGAGCUAAGUCGAUGCUAGUGAAAAUUUAGGAGAUAUCUUUUUUGAAAGAAUGGGUCCCCAGUCUUGUAUAAUGUAAAGUGGAUCUAAUGUUUAAAGGAUGAAUGGAUCUUCCUAGAUUAAGUUUGUGAUCAUAUGGCAUUUUGUUUUGGAGGGUCUCACAAUUGAGCAUUUAUAGAUGAAAAAUAUUUUAAAAAUUGGUUAGGCUGUGAGUAACCUAGAGAACACAUGUAUAUCCAGUGAGUGAGAGAAUUUCCGAGAAAAACCAUAUAAAGUCCACAGACAUCUGGCAAAAUACAUUGUUCUAUUGCGGUCUGAAUUUUGCAAAGUUCUGCGAAAUGCCAUAUAGGUAAAGAGAGAUGUUACUAACAACUUAUGCCUAGUUUGGUCGGCAAACAGAGUUGUAUUGGCUACCAAUUGAGUAUAGGAUCGAAUUCAAAAUCCUCCUUACUUUCAAGGCUGUGCAUGGUUUAGCUCCAGGAUACGUGACCUCCCUUCUAGAACAACGCCGUGUACGUCCUGGCUUGCGCUCAUCUGGUACUGGUAUCACUCUUCAUGUACCCAUCACACACCUAAGGGGAUUUGGAGACCGUACCUUUUCUUCUUUUGCUCCACGCCUUUGGAACUCCCUCCCUUCUUCACUUCGUGAAAUUGACAGCAUAGAACUCUUUAAACCGUCUCUCAAAACUCACUUAUUUCGGCAGAUGUGUAGUGAUUAUUUGGAUGAGCCUGCACCUAUGAAUGUAUGUAACAGAUAUAUGGUGCAAUAUAAAUGCUGUGGAUCAUCAUCAUCAUCAAACACAAUGUUGCAUACCCAUUUUCAUGAUAAAAUGAAGAGUAUAAUCCUUGAUCAGAGACCGUCUUUUUUGGGGUGUUCUCAGAACGUUCUCUGCCACUUUUUUAAUACACAGUACUAUACUUACCUAUACCAUCUCAUUAUAUUGCUAUUCGUUACCCCCAAUUCAAAUAGCCACAGGACUUGUAACAAAUAGAUGAUGAACAGCAUUUGUAUAGUUCCAGUUAUAUCUUCAAAGCUUAUUAAUAUGUUAUAUUAGUAUUACCAACUGGUAGAGCAGGGGGCCAUUUGUUAAAGCUGUUUGUAAGUUAAGAGUGACUUUUGAGAACAACUGGUGAUCUCUUCUUCUGGUAAAUGAUAUUCACCAUUAAAUGUUCAUUGGUGAUUAUUUAGCGCGUAAGAAAGGUUCACCAGUCGUUCUUAAAGUCGCUCUUAAUUUACAAACAACUUUAUGAAGCACCCACCCGAUCUUUUAUUUAUAU